CACGUAGGGGCGAGCGUUGUCCGGAUUUAUUGGGCGUAAAGAGCUCGUAGGCGGCUCAGUAAGUCAGGUGUGAAAACUCCAGGCUCAACCUGGAGACGCCACCUGAUACUGCUGUGGCUAGAGUCGGUAGGGAGCAUGGAAUUCUGGUGAUAGCGGUGAAAUGCGCAGAUAUCAGGAGGAACACCAGUGGCGGAAGGCGGUGCUCUGGGCCGGAACUGACGCUGGAGGAAGCGAAAGCGUGGGGAGCAAACAGG
rnacentral:rRNA from 1 species